rnacentral:lncRNA from 1 species
CCUUCUACUGGACAGCAGCACCAAUCACUGCUUCAGAUUCUCCUAGAGAAACUAUAGAUCUCCUGUCAUGCUCUGAACCCAUCUAUCAUCUCCUGGAUUUGUUUCAAUCCUUUCAUAGGUAUCCAGAUCUUCUCUCACUGCCAUCACUGCAUAUGACACCGUAUCUUCAGAGUCAUUUCUUUUCGGCUGUCACACAUCCCGC